rnacentral:rRNA from 1 species
UUUUGAAAGUAAAAAGUCGUAACAAGGUUUCCGUAGGUGAACCUGCGGAAGGAUCAUUAGUGAAUAUAGGAUGUCCAACUUAACUUGGAGUCCGAACUCUCACUUUCUAACCCUGUGCAUUUGUUUGGGAUAGUAGCCUCUCGGGGUGAACUCCUAUUCACUUAUAAACACAAAGUCUAUGAAUGUAUUUAAUUUAUAACAAAAUAAAACUUUCAACAACGGAUCUCUUGGCUCUCGCAUCGAUGAAGAACGCAGCGAAAUGCGAUAAGUAAUGUGAAUUGCAGAAUUCAGUGAAUCAUCGAAUCUUUGAACGCACCUUGCGCUCCAUGGUAUUCCGUGGAGCAUGCCUGUUUGAGUGUCAUGAAUACUUCAACCCUCCUCUUUUCUAGUGAAAGAGAAGGUGCUUGGUUUCUGAGCGUUUUGCUGGCCUCACGGUCGAGCUCGCUCGUAAUGCAUUAGCAUCCGCAAUCGAACUUCGGAUUGACUUGGCGUAAUAGACUAUUCGCUGAGGAAUUCUAAUCUUCGGAUUAGAGCCGGGUUAGGUUAAAGGAAGCUUCUAAUCCUAAUGUCUAUAUUUUAAGAUUAGAUCUCAAAUCAGGUAGGACUACCCGCUGAACUUAAGCAUAUCAUAA